rnacentral:rRNA from 1 species
UACGGGGGGAGCAAGCGUUGUUCGGAUUUACUGGGCGUAAAGGGCGCGUAGGCGGCAAUUCAAGUCAUCUGUGAAAUCUCCGAGCUUAACUCGGAACGGUCAGAUGAUACUGUUUUGCUAGAGUACAGAAGGGGCAAUCGGAAUUCUUGGUGUAGCGGUGAAAUGCGUAGAUAUCAAGAGGAACACCUGAGGUGAAGACGGGUUGCUGGGCUGAUACUGACGCUGAAGCGCGAAAGCUAGGGUAGCAAACGGG